rnacentral:rRNA from 1 species
UAGGGAAUCUUCCACAAUGGACGAAAGUCUGAUGGAGCAACGCCGCGUGAGUGAAGAAGGGUUUCGGCUCGUAAAACUCUGUUGUUAAAGAAGAACAUAUCUGAGAGUAACUGUUCAGGUAUUGACGGUAUUUAACCAGAAAGCCACGGCUAACUACGNGCCAG